AUUCUUACCUGGCAAGGGAAAUACCAUGAUCAUGUAGGUGGUUUUCCUAGGCUGAGGAUCAUCCAUUGCACUUCAGGUGUGCUGAAUCCUGUGAUUUCCCCCAAAAGGGGGAGACUUGACUGCAUAAUUUAUGGUAGUGGGGGGACUGCAUUUGUGCUUUCCCCUA
ensembl:snRNA U1 U1 spliceosomal RNA